rnacentral:rRNA from 1 species
AUACGUAGGAUCCAAGCGUUGUCCGGAUUUACUGGGCGUAAAGGGUGUGUAGGCGGUAUGGUAAGUCUCAUGUGAAAUCUCCCGGCCCAACUGGGAGGGGUCAUGGGAAACUGUCAAACUCGAGGGCAGCAGAGGAGAGCGGAAUUCCGGGAGUAGUGGUGAAAUGCGUAGAUACCCGGAGGAACACCCGUGGCGAAAGCGGCUCUCUGGGCUGUACCUGACGCUGAUACACGAAAGCGUGGGGAGCAAACCGGAUUAGAAACCCCAGUAGUCC